GGGUGUUAGUGAAUAAUAUGAGUUAGAUUUCCGGUUGCCAUCAUCCCCUUAGGGUUAGGUUAAAAGAAAUAAAAGAAAAACGUCUCUCAGCGGCGACAUCUCGUUACGCACUCUCUCUACCUUUCGCGCCUCCCGAUCUCUCGCGCCCAUCAACGUUACCUCUUGCUCCGCCUUCUCCGACGCCUACACGCCGCCGGCUACUGCAGCUGCAACCGGAAGCUACCAGUCACCACCGUUCAGACGACGUCCGACAUCCCUCAGGACAGUAGCCAGUCCGUUGCCCAGCAAGUGUUUUGCACGUCAGUCUAGCUGAUCUUAUUGUAUAAAUGCCAAAGAAGAAAUCUUCUAAAACGCCUAAAAAGAUCCCAGAGAAUGCCUCUACGAAACAGGAGAAGUCCAAUGCCGUGGUAAAAGGUGAAAAUCCCAAUUCCGUAGUGAAAGAGGAAAAGCCCCCAUCAGUAAAGAAACACAGUGAGAUCGAUGAAAUUUUUGCUGGGAAGAAGAGGAAAAAGCCCGAAGUUGGGAAGACCGAGGAGCCAAAACUAGAUGCACAAGACAGACCGAAAAAGACAAAGAACAAGAAAAAGGAUGAAGCUCAAUCCAGAAAUGGAUUUGCAGACCCACAAUCGCGGCGAAGAAAGAAAACUGGGGAUGGGCUUACAAUUUACACCGAAGAGGAACUGGGUUUUGGCAAUGCAGAUGCUGGAGGCACCCCGCUCUGCCCAUUUGACUGUAAUUGUUGCUUCUAAACAUCCUCAAUGUUCGAUUUUGAUCAAGAGGUCGUUUCUCUAUCUAGUAAAACAUCUGUUACAUCUUCCAUUUCUGUGAAUCAAUUUUUCCAAUUUUAUUGAGCAGUUUAUUUGUUUCCAUAACGGCUGUGCAUUGGAGGCGAUCAUCAUUUUAGAUUAUAUAAUUAUGAAGCACAGAAAAGUAUAAAAUUUUGAA